AGUGGCAGACGGGUGAGUAAUGUAUAGGAAUCUACCUAGUAGUACGGAAUAAUUGUUGGAAACGGCAACUAAUACCGUAUACGCCCUACGGGGGAAAAAUUUAUUGCUAUUAGAUGAGCCUAUAUUAGAUUAGUUAGUUGGUGAGGUAAAGGCUUACCAAGACAAUGAUCUAUAGCUGAUCUGAGAGGAUGAUCAGCCACACUGGAACUGAGAUACGGUCCAGACUCCUACGGGAGGCAGCAGUGGGGAAUAUUGGACAAUGGGCGAAAGCCUGAUCCAGCUAUGCCGCAUGAGUGAAGAAGGCCUUCGGGUUGUAAAGCUCUUUUAGUGAGGAAGAUAAUGACGGUACUCACAGAAGAAGUCCUGGCUAACUCCGUGCCAGCAGCCGCGGUAAUACGGAGAGGGCUAGCGUUAUUCGGAAUUAUUGGGCGUAAAGGGCGCGUAGGCGGAUUAGUAAGUUAAAAGUGAAAUCCCAAGGCUCAACCUUGGAAUUGCUUUUAAAACUGCUAACCUAGAGAUUGAAAGAGGAUAGAGGAAUUCCUAGUGUAGAGGUGAAAUUCGUAAAUAUUA
rnacentral:rRNA from 1 species